GGGUUCGAUUCUGGCUCAGAUUGAACGCUGGCGGGAUGCUUUACACAUGCAAGUCGAACGGCAGCACGGACUUCGGUCUGGUGGCGAGUGGCGAACGGGUGAGUAAUGUAUCCGGAACGUGCCUAGUAGCGGGGGAUAACUACGCGAAAGCGUAGCUAAUACCACAUACGCCCUUCGGGGGAAAGCGGGGGACCUUCGGGCCUCGCACUAUUAGAGCGGCCGAUAUCGGAUUAGCUAGUUGGGUGGGGUAACGGCUCGCAAGGCGCGACGAUCCGUAGCUGGUUUGAGAGGACGACCAGCCACACUGGGACUGAGACGGCCCAGACUCCUACGGGAGGCAGCAGUGAGGAAUUUUGGACAAUGGGGAAACCCUGAUCCUUCCCAUCCGCGUGUGCGAUGAAGGCCUUCGGGUUGUAAAGCACUUUUUGGCAGGAAAGAAACGGCACAGGAUAAUACCCCGUGCAACUGACAACCACCUGCAGAAUAAAGCACCGGCUAACUACGUGCCAGCAGCCGCGGUAAUACGUGGGGUGCAAGCGUUAAUCGGAAUUACUGGGCGUAAAGCGUGCGCGAGCGGUUCGGAAAAGAAAGAUGUGAAAUCCCAGAGCUUAACUUUGGAACUGCAUUUUUAACUACCGAGCUAGAGAGUGUGUCAGAGGGAGGUGGAAUUCCGCGUGUAGCAGUGAAAUGCGUAGAUAUGCGGAGGAACACCGAUGGCGAAGGCAGCCUCUGAAGUUAACACUGACACUCAUGCACGAAAGCGUGGGGAGCAAACGGGAUUAGAUACCCUGGUAGUCCACUUCAACGUGUCAACUGGCUGUUAUUGGGGCCUUCGGGCCUUGGUAGCGCAGCUAACGCGUGAAGUUGACCGCCUGCAAGAGAUACGGUCGCAAGAUUAAAGCUCAAAGGAAUUGACGGGGACCCGCACAAGCGGUGGAUGAUGUGGAUUAAUUCGAUGCAACGCGAAAAACCUUAUACUGCCGGCAUGUCUGGAAUCCCGAAGAGAUUUGGGAGUGCUCGCAAGAGAACCGGAACACAGGUGCUGCAUGGCUGUCGUCAGCUCGUGUCGUGAGAUGUUGGGUUAAGUCCCGCAACGAGCGCAACCCUUGUCAUUAGUUGCUACGAAAGGGGCACUCUAAUGAGACUGCCGGUGACAAACCGGAGGAAGGUGGGGAUGACGUCAAGUCCUCAUGGCCCUUAUGGGUAGGGCUUCGCACGUCAUACAAUGGUCGGGACAGAGGGUCGCCAACCCGCGAGGAGCCAAUCCAGAAACCCGAUCGUAGUCCGGAUCGCAGUCUGCAACUCGACUGCGUGAAGUCGGAAUCGCUAAAUAAUCGCGGAUCAGCAUGUCGCGGUGAAUACGUUCGGUCUGUCCCGCACCCUUACGUCACACCAUGGGAGUGGGUUUUACCAGAAGUAGUUAGCCUAACCGUAAGGAGGGCGAUUACCACGGUAGGAUUCAUGACUGGGGUGAAGUCGUA
rnacentral:rRNA from 1 species